rnacentral:lncRNA from 10 species
AGAGAUGCGCAGUGCUGCCCCUUUCUAUGGGCAGGGCCGAAGGUCCGCGUGUAAAAGUACCCAGUCCCUGGUAACCUGACACUUCCCUUUUAAAAGCCACCUUUUGUCUAUCUCUGGCCUGCCACGAUUCUUCCUGUGCUCCAUAGGAGGACCCAUUGGACCCCCGGGCUGGCUGCAGGGCCCACACCUGGGUUAGACCUCGCACAGGGACGCUGCUGCCACUGUAAUAAAGCGUGCCUACACGCUUCUGAAACUGGUGUAGGAACAACCUCAGUUCUGUGAAAGGCGGACGCAGCAGGACAGAAUCUCCGUGGACAUCUGUCUGGAGGAGCAAUUUUACUGCGACAUUUUAAAGAAACAAAUUUAAUUGAUUUCCAAGUUAUUUGAGACAGAGUCUCGCUCUGUCACCAGGCUGUACAGUGCCGUGGCCUGUCUCGGCUCACUGCAACCUCCACCUCCUGGGUUCAAGCGAUUCUUAUGCCUCAGCCUCCCAAGUAUCUGGGACUACAGGCAUGCGCCACCACGCCCAGCUGAUUUUUGUAUUUUUAGUAGAGACGGGGUUUCACCAUGUUGACCAG